UGAUAUAAUUGAGGUUAGCUUUUACCGCAAAUUUGAAAAAAGCAUGAUUUCAUAUUAGCACGAAAGUUUCAUCAUAGCUUCAGUCUACGUUAUCAAAUUAUGAAAUAAUUUAUUACAUUUAUAAAAAAAAUAGGACUUCUUAAUAUUUAUAAAGCAACGACUGCAAACCUUACACAGACCUUUAAACAAUAAAUUAAAUGAUUUACUUGUGAAAAAACACUGCAUCAAGAAAUCGAAUUCUGGCCCUUGUCGCCUUACCUUGUAAUGGUUCUUGGUGUACUGAAUAAACUCCGCAUCCAGCGCGGUGCGCCAGGGCUCCGCUUGGGGGUCCGGCGUGUAUGAUUGGUAGUCCGAAGCCUCCUUUCUAAGGUGGUCAUACUUGAAGCUCUGCCUACUUCUUGGGUCAAAGAACCUGUUGUUCCCUAUGUCGUUGUAUUCUGUGAUUAGCACCAAGUGUUCGGCGUUUUCGAUUUUAACCGGGGUGAGUUGAUCUUUGUUGUAUUGGGCGAAAGCCCCACUGGCGCCUUCCUUGAGAAGGUCGUCGUUAUUUAGAAGCUUGCGGACAUCGUUGAACACUUCAUUGAAUUCACCGGGGGGCGAAUGGAGGAUGAAAUCGGACGCUAUUCGCACUUUUUCCUGGUCGGUUAUAAUAUCGUCACCGUCAGACGCCAUGUUUAGGUUGGGUUCUUCAAGAGCGGAUGAGGAGUCUCACAUACCGGCUGCCAGCACGUCACCAAGAAAA